CCGCCGGCCCAGCAGCGCUCGCCCCGGGAAGAAGCUCCUGUAGGAAAGGGCAGGAAGAGAACUUCCAAACAGAGAGCAGCUUCUGUGACUCCUUAGGAAGUCAAAGAAGUCUCCAACAGCCACCAGCUGUUGGAAACAGAUGCCAUUUGGAGAAAACACGUCAUAAUCUCACAUGGCAAACCCAGCACAUUUCAUCCACUACAGAGUGCUGUUGCAUGGAGCACCCUGCUUUAAUCCUCUAGAUGGAAUAACCCAUCCCUGAAGAGCUUCAAGCUUAUUCAAAACUCUCCUGCUGUGCUUGCUUCUUUUGAGUGAGAUUGUGUGAUCCUAUGAGAGCCACUGAAAAUGUAACAUCCACAUGGAACCAGAAGCUGCUGGAAUUGGAAGAACUGGAACCUUGGCUUUGGGGCAAUGGGCAUUUCCAUCUGAAGGAGUUAGAGGUUGUUAUUCCAAACCAUUGCAAAGCUCCAAACCGGGUCAGUGAUGCAGUUACACGGCACAGUGUACCUUUGGUUACCGGAUGAAGCAAGAGGGGCUUUCUGGCCAACACCGGCCUCCCCCUGGCUUGUACCUGCUCCAAGCCUCACAGAGCCCUUGGAGGCCACUGGCUGAGCAUUGGCAGGGUUGGCAUCCCUGGUGGAUGACUUAGGAGGGUGCCAAAUACUCGAGGUCACAUACUGGGGCGCAUGCACGGUACCUGUAGGCCUGGGUGACAGAGAUCACAAGGGUGUUUGUAAACGAGGCAUUUCCUAGGUAAUAGCAGGGGUUUGAGGAACACACAGAAUUCCAGCCACAGAUGGAGCUGGAGAUCAUAAUGACAAUGCAGAUCAAGUAAUCUUGGUAAUUCAUUGGUUAAUUACUGCUUAAGACCAGGAAAGGCUUGACAAAUUAAAAAAGGUACCUUGUGUUAAAUCUGGAAAUCAUAUUGCUAUGAAUAUCAAAAUAAGCAGAGCUGUGAUGGUAAUGGAGGUGGAGAAAGGCUGUGGUAUGACAGAUCACACAAGAUUAAGGCAACAUAGGAGGACAAUAACACCAGUCAUAUAUCAGAAAUUGUUCCUGGCAAAAUAAAAUCAUAAUUAAA